GCCGGGGUGGCUGAGCGGACCAAAUAGUUUAUGACUAGGUUAAAGCGCAGGCCUUGAGAGCCUGUGUCCCCUUAGGGGACUCGCGGGUUCAAAUCCCGCCCCCGGCG
rnacentral:tRNA from 1 species